AUACGGAGGAUCCGAGCGUUAUCCGGAUUUAUUGGGUUUAAAGGGUGCGCAGGCGGCCAUUUAAGUCAGCGGUUAAAUCGUGGGGCUCAACCCCAUUCUGCCGUUGAUACUGGGUGGCUUGAUUGCGGUCGAGGUUGGCGGAAUUCGUUGUGUAGCGGUGAAAUGCAUAGAUAUGACGAAGAACGCCGAUUGCGUAGGCAGCUGACCAGACCGCAAAUGACGCUCAUGCACGAAAGUGCGGGGAUCGAACAGGAUUAGAUACCCUGGUAGUCCGCACAGUAAACGAUGAAUACUUGUUUUCGGCGAUAUAAUGUCGGAGGCAAAGCGAAAGCGAUAAGUAUUCCACCUGGGGAGUACGCCGGCAACGGUGAAACUCAAAUGAAUUGGCGGGG
rnacentral:rRNA from 1 species